rnacentral:rRNA from 1 species
UACAGAGGUGGCAAGCGUUGUUCGGAAUUACUGGGCGUAAAGGGCGAGUAGGCGGCCUUCUAAGUCAGACGUGAAAUCCCCCGGCUUAACCUGGGAACUGCGUCUGAUACUGGGAGGCUUGAGUAUGGGAGAGGGAUGUAGAAUUCCAGGUGUAGCGGUGAAAUGCGUAGAUAUCUGGAGGAACACCGGUGGCGAAGGCGGCGUCCUGGACCAACACUGACACUGAUGAGCGAAAGCCAGGGGAGCAAACGGG